GAAACUACAAAGGAAGUUGACGGGGGCCCCGGCACAAGCGGUGGAGUAUGUGGUUUAAUUCGAUGCAACGCGAAGAACCUUACCUGGUCUUGACAUCCCGGAGACCCUUAGGAAACUAGGGGUGCUUCCAUCUGGAAGAAUCUGGAGACAGGUGCUGCAUGGCUGUCGUCAGCUCGUGUCGUGAGAUGUUGGGUUAAGUCCCGCAACGAGCGCAACCCUUGCCUUUAGUUGCCAGCAGUUCGGCUGGGCACUCUAAAGGGACUGCCGGUGUUAAACCGGAGGAAGGUGGGGAUGACGUCAAGUCCUCAUGGCCUUUAUGACCAGGGCUACACACGUACUACAAUGGCCGAUACAAAGGGCAGCGACACUGCGAGGUGAAGCCAAUCCCGUAAAAUCGGUCUCAGUCCGGAUUGGAGUCUGCAACUCGACUCCAUGAAGUUGGAAUCGCUAGUAAUCGUGGAUCAGCAUGCCACGGUGAAUACGUUCCCGGGCCUU
rnacentral:rRNA from 1 species